GUGCUGUCUGAUGACGCUUCUCUCGUAUCUAGGCAACACAGAGUCUUAAAGGCACAUUUCAUAAUUUCGGCUGUCACACUCUUAUGGUUGCUGUUUUUCUUUGUUUCAGAUGGUGUGGGCGUCCACCAACAGAGUGGGAUGUGCAGUGCAGACCUGCUAUAACAUAUUUGUGUGGGGAGUUCAGUGGAGAGAAGCAACCUUCCUUGUCUGCAACUACUAAAGGCAGAUUGAUACUUCAGAUGUCUAUCACAGCCCAGCUGGAAGAGAGGAGAUGUUCACAAAUGAGAUCUGAUUGCCUUCCACCUAAGCAGCAUCCUGGGAUGUGUGGAAAUAAAACUGGUUGGCCAGCUGAUUUUAAUGCUUACUGACUGUCGGUCUUUCUAGCUGUCUGUCUUUCUAAAAUGUCUUAGUUUAAUCUGUUUGCUUGACAAUGCCUACGGUAAAAAAUAAGGGUUUAUUAUUCUAUGUGAAAUAUCAUAGACCCUGGGUGCUUUCUAUUUACCAAACUAUGCUUCCUUUCAUCAUUUCUCCCUCAUCUUCCUGCCCAUGGCCAAAAAAUCUGUCAAGGUCUGCCAUCCUUGAGGAUUCUCUAUUCACUUGAGGCGAUGAGGAGCAAGGGUAGAGUGCAGUGGGAUACAUCAUCAGUGGUGUAAUUUUGGGUCAACAGGUCUUUCAACAUCAGAAAGUGUAGCCAAGGCAACUCUCUCCUGUGUAUAGCUAUGCAGCCAGCAGAUCUUUAUCAUCCCACCUAGGACGCAGCAAGCUCUCCUCUGACACUGCUAUAUACCUGAUAUAUUUCCCUCCUCCCAAAAUGUAACCUCUAACAUGAUUUUUUCCACUUUAUUGCUGAAAAAUAUGUCUUAUUGAACUUGAUUUUCAAAGGCUAAGCCAAAAUAGUUUAAAUCAACUGGAUCAGGAAAUUCUGACUAUGGCAUUCAGAUGCUGCAGCUGGCUCUCCUUCAAAUUUAUGUAUUACUGAUGACAGAAAUAGGCUACAGUGAUCGUAAAAGCAUGCCCACCAAGCAUGGGUGCUGUUGGGCCACUAUGGUUUGUCUUUACAGCCUAUUAUUUGUCUACAAUGACAAACCCUGGUUCACAACCAAACUCAGACAGUUAUUAGUCAAAGUACAACUUCAGCAAGGCGGUGAGAGAAGCUUAACAGUACUCUGAGAAACUUCAACACCAUCUCUCAGCCAAUAACUCUGGAGGGGGCUCAGACAGAUAACCAAAACUUAAAACCCCCACCCCAUCAAUGACUUGAGCCUGGCAGACGAACUGAGUGUUAGUGUUACUGUCGCUUUUGAAAGAGACAGUCCUGACACCACCCCAUGUAGAGGUUGAUCACAGACUUCUUGUCUGACAGAAACAUGUCUCUGUCUCCCUGACCAUCAAUACCAAUUCACCCAAGGCUGCGUUCUUUCUCCUCUGCUCUUCUCCCUUUACACCAACAACUGCUUCUCCAGUCAUCAGUCCUUCAAGCACCGGAAGUUCACAGACGACACCAUCCUCACUGGGCUCAUCUCUGGUGGAGAUGAGUCUGUCUACAGGUGGGAGAUUGACCAUCUGAUUAUGUGUCACACUGCUAAUUUACAGAUUCCCUGCACAAUAUUUUGCACAUUCCUGUACUGCCCUUCACUCAUUUUUUUUUUUAUUCGGACAUUGUGUACAUGUCUCUAUUUAUUAUAUUUGUUUGUAUUUUAAUCUUUAUUUAUAUUUAUAUAUUUUUGGGGGGCUUUUUUCCUUUAUUGUAUAAGACAGCUGAAGAUAGACAGGAAAGGGGGUCAAGAGAGGGGAUGACAAGCAACAAAGGGCCACAGGUCGGAUUCGAACCAUGGGCCGCUGCAGCAAGGCCUUGGUACAUGGGGCCACAUUUUUCUAUGUUUAAUUAGUAUGCACCAACUUGCCAAUGCAAAUUCCUUGUACAUGAAAACCUACUUUCUCUCUCUCUCUCUCUCUCUCUCUCUCUCUCUCUCUCUCUCUCUCUCUCUCUCUCUCUCUCACACACACACACACACACACACACACACACACACACACACACAAUCACGGCAAAAGGGCAAAAAGAUCACAGCUGGAAGAUUAGAACUGGUAAUGGAUUCUGGUUGCCAGGCAACAAACUGCAAACUGUUUUUUCAGUUUCAGGGCACUUGAUUGGAGCAAGAGGCUUUGUCAUUCUGUUUGAUUCUCCUCAGCUAGUUCUAGUUGUCUCUCUUUGUCGUUUUCUUGAUGCAUACAUUGUGUGGUGCUCCAUUUUAUUUUUUACUGGAACUCCAUUCAGGUUGACUGAAUAACAGUAAUCUUUUAUUCAUUAUUCUUUUUCCAUUUAAUAUCUCUUGCUGUCUCCUGUAUGCAAACCAUGGUACACGAUAGUAUUAUAAAGUUUGUUAAAGUGUUAUUAACUUUUAUGGGCAGAUGUUAGACCACUUGGUUGUUGAUACACAGAAAUGAUAAGUAAUGGUGAGACUCCUAGUAGCUGGGAUGAUUCACUGUGAGUGGGCACAAAGAGUGACUAAUAUGUUCCUUAUAAGGAAAUAAUGAGUAGUUAUUAGUUUUGGGUCAUUUAGCACCUGAUUCAGAGUUAACGCAGAACAAAUCAUUAAGAAAGUGUUUAGUAAGCAGUGAUGUCUGUGUAUCCACAGACAUCACUGCUUCUUUAAUAUAGUAUUUAAGCAUUGCAUAUAGCAUUUAGUCAGUACUAAAGUAACAUAUACUAUUAUAAUGAUUCAGAGGUAGUUAGUUGUGAAAAAUCUAACAUGGCCAUGAAAAAAAACUCUUAACAUGAAGUACAUAUAAAGGGUACAGUCCGCUAUACAAAUAAAAUUGAAUUGAAUUGAAUUGAAUUGAAAGUCUACUGUAUGUAAGGUUUCUUGCAUGAAAUGAUUAGAGAAAACUUGAUUUAAAGAUGGAUCAUUCUCUGACUAAACCAUGUAGAGGAUACAUACUGCUACUAUAGGCACAAUUCUGUUUAAUUUAGUUUUUUUUAAUACUAUAAAAAAGUGCUGCAAGGGCAAAAUGUGCUUAAUAAUAAUUUCUCAAAUAUGCCAAGGCGUAUGAUUUAAGUUUGGUUAGAUUAAGGCACA
ensembl:lncRNA